rnacentral:rRNA from 1 species
UACGUAGGGGCCGAGCGUUGUCCGGAGUUAUUGGGCGUAAAGCGCACGUAGGCGGCUUUGUAAGUUAGAGGUGAAAGCCCGGGGCUCAACUCCGGAACUGCCUUUAAGACUGCAUCGCUAGAAUUGUGGAGAGGUGAGUGGAAUUCCGAGUGUAGAGGUGAAAUUCGUAGAUAUUCGGAAGAACACCAGUGGCGAAGGCGACUCACUGGACACAUAUUGACGCUGAGGUGCGAAAGCGUGGGGAGCAAACAGG